UCCCUGGUGGUCUAGUGGUCAGGGUUCUGUGCUUUCACUGCUGUGACCCAGGUUCAAUUCCUGGUGAGGGAA
rnacentral:tRNA from 1 species